rnacentral:rRNA from 1 species
GACGGGUGAGUAAUGCCUAGGAAUCUGCCUGGUAGUGGGGGACAACGGUUUCGAAAGGAACGCUCAAUACCGCAUACGUCCUACGGGAGAAAGCAGGGGACCUUCGGGCCUUGCGCUAUCAGAUGAGCCUAGGUCGGAUUAGCUAGUUGGUGGGGUAAUGGCUCACCAAGGCGACGAUCCGUAACUGGUCUGAGAGGAUGAUCAGUCACACUGGAACUGAGACACGGUCCAGACGCCUACGGGAGGCAGCAGUGGGGAAUAUUGGACAAUGGGCGAAAGCCUGAUCCAGCCAUGCUGCGUGUGUGAAGAAGGUCUUCGGAUUGUAAAGCACUUUAAGUUGGGAGGAAGGGCAGUAAGUUAAUACCGGGCUGUUUUGACGUUACCGACAGAAUAAGCACCGGCUAACUCUGUGCCAGCAGGCGGGGUAAAAUCACUAGUGAAUUC